CCUACGGGAGGCUGCAGUGGGGAAUAUUGGACAAUGGGGGGAACCCUGAUCCAGCCAUGCCGCGUGUGUGAAGAAGGCCCUCGGGUUGUAAAGCACUUUCAGUGAGGAAGAACGCCUGGUGGUUAAUACCCAUCAGGAAAGACAUCACUCACAGAAGAAGCACCGGCUAACUCCGUGCCAGCAGCCGCGGUAAUACGGAGGGUGCGAGCGUUAAUCGGAAUUACUGGGCGUAAAGCGCGCGUAGGUGGCUUGAUAAACCGGUUGUGAAAGCCCCGGGCUCAACCUGGGAACGGCAUCCGGAACUGUCAAGCUAGAGUGCAGGAGAGGAAGGUAGAAUUCCCGGUGUAGCGGUGAAAUGCGUAGAGAUCGGGAGGAAUACCAGUGGCGAAGGCGGCCUUCUGGACUGACACUGACACUGAGGUGCGAAAGCGUGGGUAGCAAACAGGAUUAGAUACCCCGGUAGUC
rnacentral:rRNA from 1 species